UCUCCGUAGGUGAACCUGCGGAGGGAUCAUUACAGAGUUCGUGCCCUCACGGGUAGAUCUCCCACCCUGUGUUAUUAUACCUUUGUUGCUUUGGCGGGCCGCCCUCGGCUACCGGCCCCGGCUGGUACGCGCCCGCCAGAGGACCCCAAACUCUGAAUGUUGGUGUCGUCUGAGUACUAUACAAUAGUUAAAACUUUCAACAACGGAUCUCUUGGUUCUG
rnacentral:misc_RNA from 1 species